AGUGAACGCUGGCGGUAGGCCUAACACAUGCAAGUCGAACGGCAGCACAGUAAGAGCUUGCUCUUACGGGUGGCGAGUGGCGGACGGGUGAGGAAUACAUCGGAAUCUACUUUUUCGUGGGGGAUAACGUAGGGAAACUUACGCUAAUACCGCAUACGACCUACGGGUGAAAGCAGGGGAUCUUCGGACUUUGCGCGAUUGAAUGAGCCGAUGUCGGAUUAGCUAGUUGGCGGGGUAAAGGCCCACCAAGGCGACGAUCCGUAGCUGGUCUGAGAGGAUGAUCAGCCACACUGGAACUGAGACACGGUCCCGACUCCUACGGGAGGCAGCAGUGGGGAAUAUUGGACAAUGGGCGGAAGCCUUAUCCAGCCAUACCGCGUGGGUGAAGAAGGCCUUCGGGUUGUAAAGCCCUUUUGUUGGGAAAGAAAAGCAGCAGGUUAAUACCCCGCUGUUCUGACGGUACCCAAAGAAUAAGCACCGGCUAACUUCGUG
rnacentral:rRNA from 1 species